UGAGGGUUUUGCGUUUUGGUAGGCGCUGUUUGGUUUCAACCCAAAUGUAGCAGGUUCGAUUCCUGCAACUCUUGUCC
rnacentral:tRNA from 1 species